rnacentral:tRNA from 1 species
AUGGCUCAGUGGAUAAAGUGCUUGCUUUGCAAGCAUGAGAGCCCAAGUUCAAAACCUGGU